rnacentral:rRNA from 1 species
CACGUAGGGGACGAGCGUUGUUCGGAGUUACUGGGCGUAAAGGGUGUGUAGGCGGUUGUUUAAGUUUGGUGUGAAAUCUCCCGGCUCAACUGGGAGGGUGCGCCGAAUACUGAAUGACUUGGAGUGCGGGAGAGGUGAGUGGAAUUCCUGGUGUAGCGGUGAAAUGCGUAGAUAUCAGGAGGAACACCGGUGGUGUAGACGGCUCACUGGACCGUAACUGACGCUGAGACACGAAAGCGUGGGUAGCAAACAGG